GUACUGCUGAGGAGCCCCAUAAUAGGACGAAACGAACGUCCAGUGC
rfam:Schistosoma margrebowiei strain Zambia genome assembly, scaffold: SMRZ_scaffold0000435